rnacentral:rRNA from 1 species
UACGUAGGCAGCAAGCGUUGUUCGGAGUUACUGGGCGUAAAGGGUGUGUAGGCGGUUGUUUAAGUUUGGUGUGAAAUCUCCCGGCUCAACUGGGAGGGUGCGCCGAAUACUGAAUGACUAGAGUGCGGGAGAGGAAAGUGGAAUUCCUGGUGUAGCAGUGAAAUGCGUAGAUAUCAGGAGGAACACCGAUGGCGAAGGCAGGUCUCUGGGCUGAAACUGACGCUCAUGCACGAAAGCGUGGGGAGCAAACAGG